UACGUGAAACCGUUGAAAGGGAAGCGAAUGGAGUUAGCAAUUCGCCCUGCCAGAUUCAGCAGCUCGCGCGCCGCGACGCACGCGCUCUCGAUCCGCAUGGACGAGGCGCGUGCGGGUGCGGCGUGCUGUCUGCGCACUUCUGGCGAGCGAGCGUCAGCGUCGGUUGCCGACGUGCGACAAGGACGCGGAAUGAUUAGAGGUCUUAUACGGGUGGCCUGUUGUUAUAGCCCCGCGCUCGCAUGGMUCGACGGCGACCGAGGCUUCCGGCGACGCGUGCCUGGCUGGCGACUCGAACGAUCGGUCCGGCAUGWCGACCGUGGCGGACGGCACGCCUGUGCGCUCGAACUGCUGCCGGCCGAUCGGACGGUGUUCGCACACUACGCGUCGAGGAUGCUGACGGMCAUACGGCUCCAUCCGACCCGUCUUGAAACACGGACCAAGGAGUCUAA
rnacentral:rRNA from 1 species